rnacentral:rRNA from 1 species
UCUAGCUGAUGCCUGAUCGAGCGGCGCCGGGUGAUGGAAUCUGCAGACUUCCCACUGUAGAGUUUGAUCCUGGCUCAGAUUGAACGCUGGCGGCAGGCUUAACACAUGCAAGUCGAGCGGGGAAAGGUAGCUUGCUACCUGACCUAGCGGCGGACGGGUGAGUAAUGCUUAGGAAUCUGCCUAUUAGUGGGGGACAACAUUCCGAAAGGAAUGCUAAUACCGCAUACGCCCUACGGGGGAAAGCAGGGGAUCUUCGGACCUUGCGCUAAUAGAUGAGCCUAAGUCAGAUUAGCUAGUUGGUGGGGUAAAGGCCUACCAAGGCGACGAUCUGUAGCGGGUCUGAGAGGAUGAUCCGCCACACUGGGACUGAGACACGGCCCAGACUCCUACGGGAGGCAGCAGUGGGGAAUAUUGGACAAUGGGCGAAAGCCUGAUCCAGCCAUGCCGCGUGUGUGAAGAAGGCCUUUUGGUUGUAAAGCACUUUAAGCGAGGAGGAGGCUACUGAGAUUAAUACUCUUGGAUAGUGGACGUUACUCGCAGAAUAAGCACCGGCUAACUCUGUGCCAGCAGCCGCGGUAAUACAGAGGGUGCGAGCGUUAAUCGGAUUUACUGGGCGUAAAGCGUGCGUAGGCGGCUUUUUAAGUCGGAUGUGAAAUCCCUGAGCUUAACUUAGGAAUUGCAUUCGAUACUGGGAAGCUAGAGUAUGGGAGAGGAUGGUAGAAUUCCAGGUGUAGCGGUGAAAUGCGUAGAGAUCUGGAGGAAUACCGAUGGCGAAGGCAGCCAUCUGGCCUAAUACUGACGCUGAGGUACGAAAGCAUGGGGAGCAAACAGGAUUAGAUACCCUGGUAGUCCAUGCCGUAAACGAUGUCUACUAGCCGUUGGGGCCUUUGAGGCUUUAGUGGCGCAGCUAACG